UGGAAAGAAGAUUGAAGAGUUCAUCCUCUUGUAUACACUCUUCUCCAACGCUCCUUACGAUCCGAAAUCUCUCCUCUGCACUCAACUGGGAAGAAGAGGAGGAGGACGCAGGUGUAGAAUUAAAAUCGGAGGCAUUGACCGAGAGAGACUGCAUGUCUUGGCAUGGUGGAAUUUGUUCCUCCUCCAUUGACAUGGUUCAACAGAGA
rnacentral:misc_RNA from 1 species